ACUGCAUCUCUCUAGGCUAUAAUUUUUUUCAGGCAAUGUGGUUCUACAUCAAGGGGUCACUUCUUAUUAAACUCCUCAGGAGUCUAUACAAGAUGCAAAACCAGCUCAGUAGCUAGCUAGACUGCUGAGGAGGUACAUAGACUGCACAGGAGGUACAUAGACUGCACAGGAGGUAUAUAGACUGCUCAGGAGGUACAUAGACUGCACAGGAGGUACAUAGACUGCACAGGAGGUAUAUAGACUGCUCAGGAGGUACAUAGACUGCACAGGAGGUACAUAGACUGCACAGGAGGUACAUAGACUGCACAGGAGGUAUAUAGACUGCACAGGAGGUACAUAGACUGCACAGGAGGUACAUAGACUGCACAGGAGGUACAUAGACUGCACAGGAGGUACAUAGACUGCUCAGGAGGUACAUAGACUGCUCAGGAGGUACAUAGACUGCUCAGGAGGUACAUAGACUGCACAGGAGGUAUAUAGACUGCACAGGAGGUACAUAGACUGCUCAGGAGGUACAUAGACUGCACAGGAGGUACAUAGACUGCUCAGGAGGUACACAGACUGCUCAGGAGGUAUAUAGACUGCUCAGGAGGUACAUAGACUGCACAGGAGGUAUAUAGACUGCUCAGGAGGUACACAGACUGCUCAGGAGGUAUAUAGACUGCACAGGAGGUACAUAGACUGCACAGGAGGUACAU